rnacentral:rRNA from 1 species
CCUACGUGGGGCAGCAGUGGGGAAUAUUGGGCAAUGGGCGCAAGCCUGACCCAGCAACGCCGCGUGAAGGAAGAAGGCUUUCGGGUUGUAAACUUCUUUUCUCAGGGACGAAGAAAGUGACGGUACCUGAGGAAUAAGCCACGGCUAACUACGUGCCAGCAGCCGCGGUAAUGCGUAGGUGGCAAGCGUUAGCCGGAUUUACUGGGUGUAAAGGGCGUGUAGGCGGGAAAGCAAGUCAGAUGUGAAAACCAUGGGCUCAACCUGUGGCCUGCAUUUGAAACUGUUUUUCUUGAGUACUGGAGAGGCAGACGGAAGUCCUAGUGUAGCGGUGAAAUGCGUAGAUAUUAGGAGGAACACCAGUGGCGAAGGCGGUCUGCUGGACAGCAACUGACGCUGAGGCGCGAAAGCGUGGGGAGCAAACAGGAUUAGAUACCCGGGUAGUC